CAGUCGCCGCGGUAAUACAGAGGGUGCGAGCGUUAAUCGGAUUUACUGGGCGUAAAGCGUGCGUAGGCGGCUUCUUAAGUCGGAUGUGAAAUCCCUGAGCUUAACUUCGGAAUUGCAUUCGAUACUGGGAAGCUAGAGUAUGGGAGAGGAUGGUAGAAUUCCAGGUGUAGCGGUGAAAUGCGUAGAGAUCUGGAGGAAUACCGAUGGCGAAGGCAGCCAUCUGGCCUAAUACUGACGCUGAGGUACGAAAGCAUGGGGAGCAAACAGGAUUAGAUACCCCUGUAGUCCCUGUCUCUUAUAC
rnacentral:rRNA from 1 species